GAUGAACGCUAGCGGCAGGCCUAAUACAUGCAAGUCGAACGCUCAGUAGCAAUACUGGGAGUGGCGCACGGGUGCGUAACGCGUACACAAUCUACCUCUAAGCGGGGGACACCUCCUGGAAACGGGGAUUAAUACCGCAUAAUAUGCCGAAGUCGCAUGACUUUGGUAUUAAAGCAGCAAUGCACUUAGAGAUGAGUGUGCGUCCCAUUAGGUAGUUGGUGAGGUAACGGCUCACCAAGCCUAUGAUGGGUAGCCGGUCUGAGAGGAUGGUCGGCCACACGGGCACUGAGACACGGGCCCGACUCCUACGGGAGGCAGCAGUAAGGAAUAUUGGUCAAUGGUGGAAACACUGAACCAGCCAUGCCGCGUGGAGGAAUAAGGUCCUACGGAUUGUAAACUCCUUUUGACGAGGAAGAAAAUGUUAGAUUUAUCUAAUUUUGACGGUACUCGUAGAAUAAGCACCGGCUAACUCCGUGCCAGCAGCCGCGGUAAAU
rnacentral:rRNA from 1 species